GAUUAAAUGGCUGAGGUAUAAGCGGUAGAUUGUAAAUCUAUAAACGAAAUUUUUUUUUCUUUAAUCA
rnacentral:tRNA from 1 species